rnacentral:rRNA from 1 species
GUCCACGCCGUAAACGAUGCUCACUCGCUGUUUGCGAUACACAGCAAGCGGCCAAGCGAAAGCAUUAAGUGAGCCACCUGGGGAGUACGAUCGCAAGGUUGAAACUCAAAGGAAUUGACGGGGCCCGCACAAGCGGAGGAACAUGUGGUUUAAUUCGAUGAUACGCGAGGAACCUUACCUGGGCUUAAAUGCAGAAUGACAGAUUGUGAAAGCAGUCCUUCUUCGGACAUUCUGCAAGGUGCUGCAUGGUUGUCGU